UACGUAGGGUGCAAGCGUUGUCCGGAAUUAUUGGGCGUAAAGGGCGCGUAGGCGGCCUUGCAAGUGACGGGUGAAAUCCCUCGGCUUAACCGAGGAACUGCCUGUCAAACUGCGUGGCUUGAGACCAGGAGAGGUGAGUGGAAUUCCCAGUGUAGCGGUGAAAUGCGUAGAUAUUGGGAGGAACACCAGUGGCGAAGGCGGCUCACUGGACUGGUACUGACGCUGAUGCGCGAAAGCGUGGGGAGCAAACAGG
rnacentral:rRNA from 1 species